rnacentral:rRNA from 1 species
CCUACGGGCGGCAGCAGUGAGGAAUAUUGGUCAAUGGACGAGAGUCUGAACCAGCCAAGUAGCGUGAAGGAUGACUGCCCUAUGGGUUGUAAACUUCUUUUAUAUGGGAAUAAAAUGUUCCACGUGUGGGAUUUUGUAUGUACCAUAUGAAUAAGGAUCGGCUAACUCCGUGCCAGCAGCCGCGGUAAUACGGAGGAUCCGAGCGUUAUCCGGAUUUAUUGGGUUUAAAGGGAGCGUAGGUGGAUUGUUAAGUCAGUUGUGAAAGUUUGCGGCUCAACCGUAAAAUUGCAGUUGAAACUGGCAGUCUUGAGUACAGUAGAGGUGGGCGGAAUUCGUGGUGUGGCGGUGAAAUGCUUAGAUAUCACGAAGAACUCCGAUUGCGAAGGCAGUUCACUGGACUGCAACUGACACUGAGGCUCGAAAGUGUGGGUAUCAAACAGGAUUAGAUACCCUUGUAGUC